UGGAUUGAGAACAACGUACAAACCUUAUCGAUAAACAAUUGGAGGGCAAGUCUGGUGCCAGCAGCCGCGGUAAUUCCAGCUCCAAUAGCGUAUAUUAACGUUGUUGCAGUUAAAAAGCUCGUAGUUGAAAUGAAGGGUAGUUGUGUAAUGAAUACAUUCGUGUAUUUUGUUAUUCUACUACCCUCCUUCUAAAUUCGAUAUAUGAGUAUUAAUUUACUUGUAUAUGGUUUUAGACGUUUACUGUGAGAAAAUUAGAGUGUUCAAAGCAGGCAUUUGCUUGAAUAUAUUAGCAUGGAAUAAUCAUGUAUGAUUUUCAUGAUGUAUUUGAUUGGUUUGGUUCAUGAGAAUAAGAUUAAAAGGGACAGUUGGGGGUAUUCAUAUUCAAUAGUCAGAGGUGAAAUUCUCGGAUUUAUGGAAGAUGAACAAGUGCGAAAGCAUUUACCAAGGAUGUUUUCAUUAAUCAAGAACGAAAGUUAGGGGAUCGAAGAGGAUUAGAUACC
rnacentral:rRNA from 1 species